rnacentral:rRNA from 1 species
GGGGAGGGCAAGCGUUGUUCGGAUUUACUGGGCGUAAAGGGCUCGUAGGCGGCCAUUUAAGUCGGUUGUGAAAUCCCUCGGCUCAACCGGGGAACUGCGACCGAUACUGAGUGGCUUGAAGCCGGGAGAGGGAUGCGGAAUUCCAGGUGUAGCGGUGAAAUGCGUAGAUAUCUGGAGGAACACCCGUGGCGAAGGCGGCAUCCUGGACCGGUCUUGACGCUGAGGAGCGAAAGCUAAGGUAGCAAACGGGAUUAGAUACCCCGGUAGUCUUAGCUGUAAACGAUGAAUGCUUGGUGUGGCGGGUAUCGAUCCCUGCCGUGCCGUAGCUAACGCGUUAAGCAUUCCGCCUGGGGAGUACGGUCGCAAGGCUG